GAUGAACGCUGGCGGCGUGCCUAAUACAUGCAAGUAGAACGCUGAAGCUUGGUGCUUGCCCCGAGCGGAUGAGUUGCGAACGGGUGAGUAACGCGUAGGUAACCUGCCUCUUAGCGGGGGAUAACUAUUGGAAACGAUAGCUAAUACCGCAUAAAAGUCGAUAUCGCAUGAUAUUGAUUUGAAAGGUGCAAAUGCAUCACUAAGAGAUGGACCUGCGUUGUAUUAGCUAGUUGGUGAGGUAACGGCUCACCAAGGCGACGAUACAUAGCCGGCCUGAGAGGGUGAUCGGCCACACUGGGACUGAGACACGGCCCAGACUCCUACGGGAGGCAGCAGUAGGGAAUCUUCGGCAAUGGGGGCAACCCUGACCGAGCAACGCCGCGUGAGUGAAGAAGGUUUUCGGAUCGUAAAGCUCUGUUGUAAGAGAAGAACGAGUGUGAGAGUGGAAAGUUCACACUGUGACGGUAACUUACCAGAAAGGGACGGCUAACUACGUG
rnacentral:rRNA from 1 species